rnacentral:rRNA from 1 species
CAGUCGCCGCGGUAAUACGUAGGGUGCGAGCGUUAAUCGGAAUUACUGGGCGUAAAGCGUGCGCAGGCGGUUCGUUAAGACAGAUGUGAAAUCCCCGGGCUUAACCUGGGAACUGCAUUUGUGACUGGCGAGCUAGAGUAUGGCAGAGGGGGGUAGAAUUCCACGUGUAGCAGUGAAAUGCGUAGAGAUGUGGAGGAAUACCGAUGGCGAAGGCAGCCCCCUGGGCCAAUACUGACGCUCAUGCACGAAAGCGUGGGGAGCAAACAGGAUUAGAGACCCGUGUAGUCCCUGUCUCUUAUAC